rnacentral:rRNA from 1 species
CAGCCGCCACGGGAAUACGAGGGGGGCAAGCGUUGUUCGGAAUUAUUGGGCGUAAAGGGUGCGUAGGCGGUUUGGCAAGUCUUAUGUGAAAUCUUCGGGCUCAACCCGAAGUCUGCAUGAGAAACUGCCGGGCUUGAGUAUGGGAGAGGUGAGUGGAAUUUCCGGUGUAGCGGUGAAAUGCGUAGAGAUGUGGAGGAACACCAGUGGCGAAGGCGACUCUCUGGUCUGUAACUGACGCUGAGGAGCGAAAGCGUGGGGAGCGAACAGGAUUAGAUACCCGCGUAGUCCCUGUCUCUUAUAC